rnacentral:rRNA from 1 species
ACUCAAAGGAAUUGACGGGGGCCCGCACAAGCUGUGUAGGAUGUGGUUUAAUUCGAAGCAACGCGAAGAACCUUACCAGGUCUUGACAUCCUCUGAAAACUGUAGAGAUAGAGCUUCUCCUUCGGGAGCAGAGUGACAGGUGGUGCAUGGUUGUCGUCAGCUCUUGUCGUGAGAUGUUGGGUUAAGUCCCGCAACGAGCGCAACCCUUGAUCUUAGUUGCCAUCAUUAAG